rnacentral:rRNA from 1 species
GAGCGGCGGACGGGUGAGUAACGCGUGGGUAACCUGCCUUAUACAGGGGGAUAACUAUUGGAAACGAUAGCUAAGACCGCAUAGGUAUAUGGAUCGCAUGAAACAUAUAUGAAAUAUCCUACGGGAUAGCAGAAGGAUGGACUUAUGACGCAUUAGCUAGUUGGUGAGGUAGAGGCUCACCAAGGCGACGAUGCGUAGCCGGCCUGAGAGGGUGGACGGCCACACUGGGACUGAGACACGGCCCAGACUCCUACGGGAGGCAGCAGUAGGGAAUUUUCGGCAAUGGGCGAAAGCCUGACCGAGCAACGCCGCGUGAGGGAGGAAGUACUUCGGUAUGUAAACCUCUGUUAUAAAGGAAGAACGGUACAUGGAGGGAAUGCCAUGUAAGUGACGGUACUUUAUGAGGAAGCCACGGCUAACUACGUGCCAGCAGCCGCGGUAAUACGUAGGUGGCGAGCGUUAUCCGGAAUCAUUGGGCGUAAAGAGGGAGCAGGCGGCAGUGCAGGUCUGCGGUGAAAGCCCGAAGCUAAACUUCGGUAAGCCGUGGAAACCGCACAGCUAGAGUGCAGUAGAGGAUCGUGGAAUUCCAUGUGUAGCGGUGAAAUGCUUAGAUAUCACGAAGAACUCCGAUUGCGAAGGCAGCCUGCUAAGCUGCAACUGACAUUGAGGCUCGAAAGUGUGGGUAUCAAACAGGAUUAGAUACCCUGGUAGUCCACACGGUAAACGAUGAAUACUCGCUGUUUGCGAUAUACAGCAAGCGGCCAAGCGAAAGCGUUAAGUAUUCCACCUGGGGAGUACGCCGGCAACGGUGAAACUCAAAGGAAUUGACGGGGGCCCGCAUAAGCGGAGGAACAUGUGGUUUAAUUCGAUGAUACGCGAGGAACCUUACCCGGGCUUAAAUUGCAGAUGAAUUACGGUGAAAGCCGUAAGCCGCAAGGCAUCUGUGAAGGUGCUGCAUGGUUGUCGUCAGCUCGUGCCGUGAGGUGUCGGCUUAAGUGCCAUAACGAGCGCAACCCUUGAUGUCAGUUACUAACAGGUUCUGCUGAGGACUCUGACAAGACUGCCAUCGUAAGAUGUGAGGAAGGUGGGGAUGACGUCAAAUCAGCACGGCCCUUACGUCCGGGGCUACACACGUGUUACAAUGGGGGGUACAGAGGGCCGCUACCACGCGAGUGGACGCCAAUCCCAAAAACCUCUCUCAGUUCGGACUGGAGUCUGCAACCCGACUCCACGAAGCUGGAUUCGCUAGUAAUCGCGCAUCAGCCACGGCGCGGUGAAUACGUUCCCGGGCCUUGCACACACCGCCCGUCAAG